rnacentral:misc_RNA from 1 species
CUUAAAUCAUAACAUCAUAAGAUUUGACGAACUAAAUAGAACAGUCAUCAAAUAUGUAGCUUUACAAGUAAAAGGUCAUAAAUAAGCUUUUUAACAUUUUGUUAAAUAUGGCAUUCAAAUGAUUUGAUCUUUAAAAGUAACAUCUCUAUGAUCAAAGUAAUCAAUGUGAGAGUAACUAUAAUCACAUAUCAACUUGACUAAUUAAUAUUUAUUUAAAUUCAUUAUUAUUAUAUUAACAAUUACUAUAUUACACAAUUUCAUCAAUAGUGAGGUCCAUCACCAAGCUAAUAAUGUUACAUAAGUACAAUGUACACAUUAACAUAAACAUGCACAAACAUUAUUGUAGGACUAGGACCAGUGUUAUUAAAGGCACCAAAAGG